CGGCAUAUAUUGAAAUAAAUUCCGAAAGAUUUUUAUGAAUAAGCAAGGUUGUAUCAGAGGAAAUUGCAUAGAAAAAUAAACGUCACGUUAACCGACGAUUAAAAGUUAAUGAGCGACCGAGACAAAAUAUAAGGAAAUGCUCAGGAAGGUUACGUAGAUAGAACCCUUACAGAAAAAUUUUAAUAAAAAAACUUUUAGCGUCAAGAGCCGUAA